AGAUUUGCAAAGGUGGUGCUACUCACCAGGAAAGAGAAAAGAGCCACAUGGGAGCUGCAAGUUUGGCAGGCAGAAUAUGUAGGAUUGGUUUAUUGUUUCUGCUUUCCAGUAUAGAAAGAUGCAUACCCUCAAGAGAAUCUGCUUGUUGUGGUUUCUGAUUUACAUAGAUGAUGAGAUUGGCCCCAUGUCUGAAAAACAGUAUGUGGGGAAGGCCUGGAGAAGCAAUUGAACUGAAACAAAGUCAAAAGUGGGAAGUCCCCCUCUGGCAAGCAGCUCUAAGAUGACAGAGCCGGUGCCAGAAUCUAAACCUUGGGACUCUGGUUGCUGUAUAAAAAAAUAAAUAUUAGGAACAAAAAUAAAUACCCACAUCUCCAUGCUGGACAGCAGAAGAGCAAUAAGUUGCCAAAUUUUUUUUUUGUUUUGUUUUGAUAGUUUUUUACUCUCUAAAUGUAAGCUCC
rnacentral:lncRNA from 10 species